UCAUUGCAUUACGGUGGAGUGGGCGGAGCCUCGUGAAUGACGGUUAUUUUUUUCAAACGAGGAAGUGAAGUCAAGUCCGCCAUUUCAUCUUCUUCUUUAUAUCGGAAAAGCUGAAGGAAAGGACAACUCUCACAUCAGUGCAUUACUAAUUGUUUGACUUCAUCAUCAAGCACACCAGUUCAGAUUGUGAUGGACCUGGAAUGCGACACCAGUUACUCUUAAGUCAAGAACCAAAUGAAGCACCAGAGUACAGAUUAUGGAGGUAUCUGAAGUUGAACUAACUGGAAGCAGGGAACCAUACUAAUAAAGUUCCUUAAGCAGGUUCCUUGUAAAGAUUAACCCAGGGAAGGAUCGAAAGUGGAGAAGACCAGAUCAAGAAAGACCACAUCAAGAUCUGCGGUCAGUUCAAAGGUACUUUCACUAAUUACCAAGAUUUCAGACAAUGAAUUGAUGGAGAAAACUUUGAGUGUCAGAUCUUCCUACAGUCUGCGCAGACAUCUAUAGUCAUCUUAACGUGAGCGCUUUAAUGGUCAAAUAGGUGUAAAAACGCAGUGUUUAGUGAAUAUUCAUAUCAAGCAUCGUUUGUGUAAUAAACAAACGAGUUGAGAAUCAAAAUAGAUGCGAAAGAGAAACUAUUAAAGAGACAGCGUGCUAUAAUCCUUC